GUGCCACGCGGUAAUACGUAGGGUGCAAGCGUUGUCCGGAAUUAUUGGGCGUAAAGAGCUCGUAGGCGGUCUGUCACGUCGGCUGUGAAAACCCGGGGCUCAACCCCGGGCCUGCAGUCGAUACGGGCAGACUAGAGUGCGGUAGGGGAGACUGGAAUUCCUGGUGGUAGCGGUGAAAUGCGCAGAUAUCAGGAGGAACACCGGUGGCGAAGGCGGGUCUCUGGGCCGUAACUGACGCUGAGGAGCGAAAGCGUGGGGAGCGAA
rnacentral:rRNA from 1 species